UGGUCCGCCCACUCUGAACAGGUGGUCUGGUGCUGCUAAUCAGCACUCUCACAGUUGUUUGCCACACAUCUCGUGCUUGUGAGACAAGAAGUGAAAAGAAAAUAGAUAAAAUAACGAGAAACCACACAAGUUUAAUGGGUGAAAUCAUUGAUUUGGCUAAAAUAGCUGAAUCUGUGGAGCAGUUACCAGAAACAAACAAGCCAGAAGUGUCCCGUCCACCUGUUGGUUACCAUGGCUGUUUCACCUCACAGAGCUACUGGACUGACAUGUGUGAAAAUGUUGAAAGCAGACCCGCCAGGCCUUUAAGAUUGAGAAAAACAAAUAGCAUAAUUCAGGAGAAAGUCCCCACAACUCCAGGCUGUUGGACUUCACUAAGCUUUUUUUUUUUUUUUCUGUAAUUUGGAUAUAUCUGAAAGGACAGCCACACAGACAGGGAGAGACAGACGGAGAAAAGGAAGGUGUAACACGUUCAAGGAGGACUGACUGUUGGAAGAAUGUGAUUAAAUACCAAGAACUCUUGCUGCAGACUUUCUCCCUUCUGCUCUCCCGCCUCCUUCUCCUUGAGUUGGGCCUAUUUCCUCUCAUCUCGUACUUCAGUAUAAAUGAUGUUGACCCUGGGAAGAACACCUGAGGGAUUCAGUCUCUAAACAGCCCUUACAGGCAAGAUGAAUGGCGAGGCAGCCGGCACCCACCUGGGCACCAUAUUGUUUCAGGCGCUUGAGGUCUGAUACCUGCUCCACCCACCUGCACAACCUUCUGCGCUUGAAUAUCGACAAUCAGGAGUCGGCUCAGGAGGGGCUGGGUCACGUAGAUGUACUUAUCCCUGAUGUUGACUGCUGAGGACCACACGCAGUGCUG